GGGAGAGGGACAGAGGGCUAAGGAGGUUCUGAUCUUUGCUGGAGAGUGUUGACUUUCCGUCUGUCUCCACGGCCUCCUCAGUGGGAGGCCCACCCAUUGGUGAUAAAUUGACACUUGGGAAGAUCAAAGGUUCUUCAGGAUGGUAAUUCAUUCUGAUGAUCCAUCAGUUGUUUGGGUUUGUCUAGGUGGGGAAAGAAAGGGUGGUUCAGCUUGAGGUGCCCCUAAAACGUUGCCUGCGUGGCAGUGGAGCUGAGGAGGCUGGGCAGCUGGACACACCCCCACCUGGGCCAUUGUCAAUGUUGUCAGUUGUCCUGACACCUGACUGACUUGUUCAUUCGGCUGAGGGGAAGGAGGCACGCGACUGAGUGACAAUGGGUGUGAACCGACCUUUCUCUGUCAGCCUGCAGUGGGUCUGCCACCCUCUCAGGGAGAGCUCAAUGGCUGGAACGCACUGCAAGACAGAAGAAGAAUUGGAGUGGGGGCUGAUUUUGUCAUCACCAGUGAGUCCUCAGGGCUGUGGGUCUGUCGAGGCCCGGCAGCUGGCCGGGUGAGACAAGAAGCAGAAGUGAGAACAGACCGAAGUUUUCCACGGGAUAGAAGAGAGUAUCUUUGAGCAUGUCUUAUCUGAUCCUUUUUCUAAAAUGAACUUUUACCAAAGAAGUAUGUUCUGGCUCAAGAAACUCAGACCGCUUCCUAAAAACAGAGCUUGAGGAAAAAUACAAGGGAAAUCUACUGCAUUGCUCAGGGAAGUCACCGUAUUCCUACAAAAGGCUGAAUCAUCAGUUUUCCAGUAUUAUCUUUUUAGGUCACCGCAGCUCACUAAGAUAGCACCAACGUAAAUAAUCAACAGAAAAAUGCCAUAAAUGUCUCGGAAAUUGAGGUGACCUUGGAGCUGGUUCAUUACUAACCUGAUACCAUAUCAGAGGCCUUAACUUGCCAAGGGCAUCAUCUCGUCCUUUGCCAAAUCUGAGACUUAGAUGGCAGCACACCAAGAAUCUUGUUUAAUUCCUCAUUUUAAGUUUAAUUCAUGAAGGCACAAAAAGCAGUAUUGAUUUCUCAUGGAUGGUACAGAUGUCAGAGAUAAUGUACCAAGGCUAUAUGUGCUCCAGGUAAAGGACUGUGGGGAGCCUAACAAGAGAGAUUUGGUGGGAUUAAGAGAAGAGACACAAAAUUUAUCCAGGCUCUCAAAAGCCAAGAAUGGAGGGGCCAGGCCGGUGGCGCAGCGGUAAAGUUCAUACGUUCUGCUUCUCGGCAGCCUGGGGUUUGCCGGUUCGGAUCCCGGUGUGGACAUGGCACCGCUUGGCAAAAGCCAUACUGUGGUAGGCAUCCCACGUAUAAA
rnacentral:lncRNA from 1 species